rnacentral:rRNA from 1 species
UACGUAGGGUGCGAGCGUUGUCCGGAUUUAUUGGGCGUAAAGAGCUCGUAGGCGGUUUGUCGCGUUCGGCCGUGAAAUCUCCACGCUUAACGUGGAGCGUGCGGUCGAUACGGGCAGACUUGAGUUCGGUAGGGGAGACUGGAAUUCCUGGUGUAGCGGUGAAAUGCGUAGAUAUCGGGAGGAACACCAGUGGCGAAGGCGGCUGCCUGGGCCAGUUCUGACGCUGAGGCG